AGCAGGUCACCAGGAGGUGACAAACAUGUUUCUUGCAGACAGGAGAGAGCAUACAUUUCUCACUGUCUGACUAUACGUGAAUUGAGUAUUGUAUGCCUAUUUACACACUGAGCUAGCUCCUAGUCAACAUUAGCAAAGUCUACAAGAAAGAAGCCUACAGGAAAGAACAGGUGAGGGGAAGGGGAGAAUCCUGUCUACGUGUAAAGACUGGAUUGUUGGAAUAUAACAAGGAGUGUACCCACUGGAGAUGAUUCUCAAAGAAGAGAAAUGCUAUAAGAAAGGGGAGCAAACUCCUCAGAUUACCUCUUUCCCCGUCUCUACUCAUGGCAUCAACAACACUUGAAAGACAAAGGAAGCAGCAUAGAACUGGAGGAAUGGAUCCUGGCUAAAAGGAAUCCAGACAGACUGCUGUAAGCAUGUGGGGCCAACUCAUACCAGUGGAAAGCAGCUGUUUAUUGGAGAUAUUCUGAACAAUAUGGCAAACUCCAGUUACCUACAAAUCUGUACUACCGAUCGUGAUGGAUAUAAAACCCUGGACAAACCUUACUGAAUUAAGUUUAGUAUCUUUGAAAUUCAUUGUCUUACAAAUGCAAGUGUUUACACACUGUGUACAAUUGCAUGGAAAUUCGUUAGAAGGAAGACAGAAUUAAGGCAAUAUUUGGGAGGUAUUAGGAACUUCAAAGGACUUUUUUGGACAAAAUGUGUCAAGUGGAUUUCCUAGGAAAUAUUUGGGUGGGGGGGAAGAGAUGAAUGCAAAUGCCCCCUUCCAAUCCAUCCUUUUGAAAUUACACUGUGGGAAGAGAAACUGAUUGUCUACUGAUUACCUGCUUCUAGAAACUUCAGAUUAAAGACCCCUGAACUGUAUAAAGGAUGGACAAGACUUUUCAUGAGGAUGCUAAUUCUGAGCUAAGGCUGUUAUGACCUUGUGGCCACAAAAGAGAUGCCUUUGCAGGAUGGGGUUAAAGGAUUCAUUUGCCAGAGCCCAGGUUGGAGACAGUUCAGGUGAUCUCUGGUGCACAACUGAUUUUCCCUCCCUCUAGUGAUGGUGGUGUAGCAGUGUACUGGACAACAGGAACAGUUUGGAGUAAGGAAUCAACUGGAUCUGGUAUCAAGGUUUCUUCCACCAAGUCAUUAAAAUUAGGAGUU